rnacentral:rRNA from 1 species
AUCUUGUUGCUGAGAAGCUGAUCAAACUUGGUCAUUUAGAGGAAGUAAAAGUCGUAACAAGGUUUCCGUAGGUGAACCUGCGGAAGGAUCAUUAAUGAUAUAAAUUGUCUUACCUUCGUGCUGGCUCUUGCAAGGGCAUGUGCACGUUGGGGGCAUACAUCCAACACCCUCUUGUGAACCAUUGGCCUUUGCUGGCUUCGGCUGGUAGAGGAUUUAUACAAACACGAAUGUAAUGAAAUAAUGUUGUGCUAAGCACUAAUAUACAACUUUCAACAACGGAUCUCUUGGCUCUCGCAUCGAUGAAGAACGCAGCGAAAUGCGAUAAGUAAUGUGAAUUGCAGAAUUCAGUGAAUCAUCGAAUCUUUGAACGCACCUUGCACCCUUUGGUAUUCCAAAGGGUAUGCUCGUUUGAGUGUCAUUAUAAUCUCACACUCUCUGAUUAGAGAGCGGUGGACUUGGAUGUUGCCUGGUACUUGCUGUCAGGCUCAUCUAAAAUGAGUUAGUACAACUCCUAGUUAAACAUAGUACGGCGUUAUAAMUAAACCCUCGCUGUUUUCUGUCUGAUUAGGAGCUUUGUGCUUCCAACCGUCCUCGGACAAUCUCUGAUAACUUGACCUCAAAUCGAGUAGGAUUACCCGCUGAACUUAAGCAUAUCAAUAAGCGGAGGAAAAGAAACUAACAAGGAUUCCCCUAGUAACGGCGAGUGAAGAGGGAAAAGCUCAAAUUUUGAAUCUGGCGUCUUUGGCGUCCGAGUUGUAAUCUAGAGAAGUGUUUUCCGUGGCGGACCGUGCACAAKUCUCCUGGAAUGGAGCGUCAUAGAGGGUGAGAAUCCCGUGUAUGGCAUGGACUACCGUUGCUCUGUGAUACACUCUCAACGAGUCGAGUUGUU